rnacentral:rRNA from 1 species
UGGGGAAUCUUGCGCAAUGGGCGAAAGCCUGACGCAGCGACGCCGCGUGGGUGAUGAAGGCCUUCGGGUUGUAAAGCCCUGUGGGGAGGGACGAAUAACGACGACUUAAUACGUCGUCAGAUGACGGUACCUCCUUAGCAAGCACCGGCUAACUCUGUGCCAGCAGCCGCGGUAAGACAGAGGGUGCAAACGUUGUUCGGAAUUACUGGGCGUAAAGCGCGUGUAGGCGGUCUGGUAAGUCGGGUGUGAAAGCCCGGGGCUCAACCCCGGAAGUGCAUUCGAUACUACCAAACUAGAGUACUGGAGAGGAUGGUGGAACUCUCGGUGUAGAGGUGAAAUUCGUAGAUAUCGAGAAGAACACCGGUGGCGAAGGCGGCCAUCUGGACAGAUACUGACGCUGAGACGCGAAAGCGUGGGGAGCAAACAGG